rnacentral:rRNA from 1 species
CGGCUUUGCUCGCAUCUGACGCAGCGACGCCGCGUGAGCGAUGAAGGUCUUCGGAUCGUAAAGCUCUGUCCUUGGGGAAGAAGAUGGCGGUACCCCGCGUUGGAGGCCCCGCUAACUUCGUGCCCCCACCCGCCGUUAUAAACCGU